rnacentral:snoRNA from 1 species
AACCCAUGGUGAGGGCACCUUCUUAGUAAGUCCUUAUAUCUCUCCCAUGCAUCGUAGAAGGUUUCUAAAUCCAUCUGCACAAAAGAAGUGAUGUCAUUACGUAAUUU